CACGAUAACUUUUCUUCUUCCUCCUAUCCAGAGGACAGUGAGCACCAUCAAAGCAUCAGCCUGCGGGCUCAUUUCAAUCUGACCUGCUCUGCUUGCCCGCCUACGCCUUCAUUCACAGCGGAGAGCCAUUAUUUCAGUUCAGUGCUGUGGAUGGAGAAAAAAGUUGAUUUGGUGUCUACUCUUCAGGCUUAUUCUGGCAGAAAAAAAUGCUGAAGAUGAUACCUCCAAUUCAUUACUGCGUUUGUCUGGAGGCAUUUUUCUGAUUGAGAUGACAGUAAAUCCACUGGGAAGCAGAAACUCCGGAUUUGAUGAGGAUGCAGCCCACACAUCUCUGAUUAAACCUUUGACUCUGUUACUACAGCUGUCAAAAUAAACUGAUUCCAAAUAUGAAAGAAGAGACUUCUCAUUUUUAACUGCAAGAUGCAUUCCUAUAAGGCUCUCAAAAUAUUUUCUGUUCAUUAUAUCAGUGAAGCCUAUUUUCUUUGUAAAAUACAUACUAUAAAGAGAUUCUAUACAUCUCAAAGACAAGUUUGUUAAUUAAUAAAAGACCAU
rnacentral:lncRNA from 1 species